rnacentral:rRNA from 1 species
GACGAACGCUGGCGGCGUGCCUAAUACAUGCCAGUAGAACGCACAGUUUAUACCGUAGCUUGCUACACCAUAGACUGUGAGUUGCGAACGGGUGAGUAACGCGUAGGUAACCCGCCUGGUAGCGGGGGAUAACUAUUGGAAACGAUAGCUAAUACCGCAUAAUAUUAAUUAUUGCAUGAUAAUUAAUUGAAAGGUGCAAUUGCACCACUACCAGAUGGACCUGCGUUGUAUUAGCUAGUAGGUGAGGUAACGGCUCACCUAGGCGACGAUACAUAGCCGACCUGAGAGGGUGAUCGGCCACACUGGGACUGAGACACGGCCCAGACUCCUACGGGAGGCAGCAGUAGGGAAUCUUCGGCAAUGGACGAAAGUCUGACCGAGCAACGCCGCGUGAGUGAAGAAGGUUUUCGGAUCGUAAAGCUCUGUUGUAAGAGAAGAACGGGUGUGAGAGUGGAAAGUUCACACUGUGACGGUAUCUUACCAGAAAGGGACGGCCAACUACGUG